UACGCGAAGAACCUUACCNCAGGCUUGAACUGCGAGUGACAUCCUACGAAAGUAGGCUUCCGCAAGGACACUCGUAGAGGUGCUGCAUGGCUGUCGUCAGCUCGUGUCGUGAGAUGUUGGGUUAAGUCCCGCAACGAGCGCAACCCUUGUCUUCUGUUGCCAUCGGGUUAUGCCGGGCACUCUGAAGAGACUGCCGGUGACAAACCGGAGGAAGGUGGGGAUGACGUCAAGUCAGCAUGGCCUUUAUGUCUGGGGCCACACACGUGCUACAAUGGCCGGUACAAACCGUUGCAAACUCGCGAGGGUGAGCUAAUCGGAGAAAGCCGGUCUCAGUUCGGAUUGUAGGCUGCAACUCGCCUGCAUGAAGUUGGAAUCGCUAGUAAUCGCGGAUCAGCACGCCGCGGUGAAUACGUUCCCGGGUCUUGUACACACCG
rnacentral:rRNA from 1 species